rnacentral:rRNA from 1 species
UACGUAGGGCGCAAGCGUUAUCCGGAAUUAUUGGGCGUAAAGAGCUCGUAGGCGGUUUGUCGCGUCUGCUGUGAAAAUCCGGGGCUCAACCCCGGACUUGCAGUGGGUACGGGCAGACUAGAGUGUGGUAGGGGAGACUGGAAUUCCUGGUGUAGCGGUGAAAUGCGCAGAUAUCAGGAGGAACACCGAUGGCGAAGGCAGGUCUCUGGGCCACUACUGACGCUGAGAAGCGAAAGCGUGGGGAGCGAACAGG